ACCUUGGCUUCCUCUAAUAUAUACAGAAAUAUUGAUGAUUGGCAUCAAGAACUUCAAUAGGAAAAAGCUAAAAUAAAAUCUCUCAAAAGUUUAAUGAAGGUUAGCUUGGAAUCGUGAUGAGAUGAGGGGAGGAGCUCAAAUUCUAGUGGAAGCAUUCCACACACCGAAGGCCCUCUUUGAUGACCUUUUCAUCGAAUUCUUCAAGGUCAAAUUGGUGCUUUGGCUAAUUGAUCACUUGAAAGCAUGAUGAUUAUUUAACAUCAACCAGAUGGGUGUUUGGUGACCGAGUGAUGUAGUCGUGCUUGUAGAAAUUGAAGGUUGCAAACAUUAAGGCAAAGAUUAUGGAGCGGGGUGUGGUCAAUGAGGGGAUAAGAAGGCUUCUAUUUAGACGAGAAAUGUCCAGGUGCUCAACAUUCAGGACAUGCAAAUGCAAAUCAUAGAGUUGACCUGCAGGUUAAAAGAGAUGGACUUAUUAGGCUAAAACCAAAACCAAGAGUGUGAUCAUUGGUCAUUGAGUAGUACUGAAAAUAAAAAAAGUCAACAUCUCAAGCUAGAAGAGAUCAGAUUUAGGGAUUAUAAUGUUCUUGUCAAGAUUCCUGAGUUUGUUGGAAGUUUGCAGACAGAGGAAUUCAUAGACUAGUUGAACAAAGUUGAGAUGAAUUUUUUAGUACAAUGAGGUUUUGAGUAAACAUGAGUUAAGAUAAUCACAAUCAUACUAAAUAGUCGGUUAUCUUCUAGUGGGAACAAUUAAAGAAGAUGCAAAAGAGGCAAGGAAAGCCAAAAACCAAUGAUUAGGUCAAGAUGAUAAAAAGAAGAUAA